ensembl:snRNA U6 U6 spliceosomal RNA
AUGCUUGCUUUGACAGCACAUAUACUAAAAUUUGAACGAUACAGAGAUUAGCAUGGCUCCUGCACAAUGACACGCAAAUUCAUGAAGCGUUCCAUAUUUUU